GCUAGGACUGCCUCCUCACAUUACUUUUUUGGGGGGAGGGGUUCUUAUGAAGCUGGUUUAUUUCCUAAGCGUAUUAGGAUAUAAGAUUAAGCUGCCGUGACAAAGAAUUACACAAUACAAUUCAGAAACUUAAGAAAGACGGGUUAGCCAGGUUUGUGGGAGGAAGCAAAUGAUUUCCAACGUCAGUAGGAGAUAGUGGAAGCCAGUUCAGUUGAUACGAUUCUUCAUAGUGGUAGCAAAUUACGACCAUCUGUCGGCACUGAGUUUAUAUCACUAAACUCAAAAGUUCUCAAAAGGCCGGAUGAAGAUUUAAAUGAUGGUGAGAGUUAGUGGAUCAGUUUGUCCCUAUGAUUUCUAAUAUGAAGGUAUCUUUUCUAUUUAAUUUUCUUAAAAGAAAGUCGUUGACAGCGUGGGUAAUUGCCACCACCAAAGGAAAUGGAAUAGCAAAAGAAAGAACGAAAAUACACACACAAGCAAAUACGCAACCAGAAAAAAGGUCGGUGGCAUACAAGAUUAAAUCUGAAAAUUCAUUUUCAUUCAGUAAACUCUCUAACUUCAGAAAACAGACAAAGACAUCAGCGAGAAAACGAAGUCAUAUGAAGCAUAACCUUUGCCGGCUGCAGAAGUCGCACCUGGUUUUUCUGGGCUGGAGGAGGCCCGCCUCCCCGCGUCCUUCAAAGCCGCAGGCCUGGCUGCUGCAAGGGCCCAGGGAUCUUCCUCUUGCACCACAAAUGCCAUCACUCCCAUCGCUAAAGGGAGCGAACUGAAGUGGGCCACCAGGGCAAGAGGUGAAUGGGGCUCAGGGUAGUGGAAUGGCAAGAGUCAGACACCUACGUAAAGACUUGGAAAGCUGCCAGCGCUGUGUCAGGUGGGGGACGCAAUGAGAACGCUGGUGUCUCACAGGGAAUACAAAUGCUUUCAGUAUGCAUUCUACUUAUUCCUCAACAUGACCUCUUGGAGUCACUGCCAAGUCAGGAGGAGCAAGAGGUUCUAGGAUCCUUGUCGCCUCGUGCAUUCUUUUAUUUACUCGACGAACACUCGUGAGGACAUAGGAAUUCGACCGUGGUGUCCCCCCCAGCCUGGAUGUGAUGUGGCCCUGUCUCCCCAUGGCUAAUAUGGCUAUUUCACAAGACUUCCUUAAGCGGAGUACUCUAUCGGGCUAUAGAGCGCUCGCGAUACAAAAGGUCACCUCAUUCUGAAACUAACCCAUCCGCUGAUGAGGAAGGUUAUGCCAUAAUUACGUAAAGUUGGAGGAGCAGCCGCAAAUGACACAGACCGCACACACAAGCUCUCACCCGAAUACCAUUGGUCAGGCCAUCGGUGAACAUUACAGAGCACCUACCAUGUGCCAGAUGUGUGCUAAGCACGAGGGGGAGUAGUGGCCGAAAGAAGCAUGGACUCUGCCUUGAUGGUAAAUUGGACUUCACCAAUAGAGCAAAUGUAGACGUUCUACAUUCCACAUAAUUCAUAAUUAUUUUAAGCGAUUGAGUAGACAAUUUAAAGUAAAAAGAUGCUCCAAGCCACAAACACUAGGGGCUGUGAAAAGUCCAGAAAAGGGGACCUAACACUUAUUUGUAACAGGGGUGGGCAGGAAAGGCUACGUUGAGUUUCUUAAGCUCCCCUGGUCUGAGAAUCUCUGCGAAAUGAGGUUGUGGGACUCAAGCAAUAUCUCCCACAGAAUGUGGUCACCUGAGUUCUACAAAGUUCAGCUGGCUUCUUUACUGAGGGCCUUGUUGGUCUUUAGUGUGCAAAUACGCAUUAUGAAUCUCAAAGGGACUCUCUAGACUGAAGAAGUUCCCAAGCUCUUUGGGGAACGUUUUUGUGCAGAAUAUUUAUAGCAACUGGCAUUCUAAGGAAGACCAUUUAGAAAGUAUUUGAGUAGGUGUCUAAGGCCUCUGCCAGCUUUAAAAUUCAAUUAUUAUGUCUUCGAGCACGUCGUAGGGAAAAAACAACAACAGCAACAAAGGAAUCCAACAUUAAUGUGUAGCAAAGACCGGAUGGGUGGGCUCUGGGAGAUGGAAAUUGUGGCAGAAAAUCUAUGGAGGACUUCCUGACAGCCUAAACUCAGAUGGAAGGGAUAAUCGAGGCUUGGAUAUUCUUUAAAUAUAAAGUAUAUAAAAAAAAAAAAGAAAAAAAAAAUACAGCAAUGGCUAUGCACCCAGGGAACCGACAAAGAUUAUUUAGGGAGAUGUCACGUGGAUACGCGUGACUUCGUGAUUAACAUGGGGAUUCAAAAAGGUGCCACUUAUAAAAGGAAACUUCUGGGCUGAAGGGUGUCCAGAAGGACUCUCAGUAAACCAGGCUGACAUAAGUAGGAGGGAGACAGAGUGGUGCAUUCCGUUUUCACAGAAAAGCACAGGAAAAUAUCAGAGAGCCCUUUUGUCGCCGCCAGUGGCCCGUGGGUGUGCCUUGUCCCCCGGAGGUGGCUUCUAGUCUUACCCACUUCUUGCUGCUUGAACUCGGCUUCUUUUUUUCUCGUAUUUGUGGCUUUUAUCACGGUGCAGGACCAGGGGUGGGGACUUUUUUUUUUUCUUGCCUCUUGUGAUUCUUCAGGUUUUAAAGCCCCCACGUAAAAGAUUCUUGUCACACGCCUCCGUCAUUAAAACUGCACAAACUCCUUGAAUCUUCCCUUGUUUUACUUCUCAGGGGAGUCUUCCACAAACGUUGCAGCCAACCACGGUACGGUCCCAGGCCAGCUGGCCAAUAGCACCCACUUUUCUCCACAUAGAGGCAGUCAUCUAUAUCCAAUUGAUGAUUGCCUCUUGGGUGAUUUUAUAGGAUUCUUUCAUUACCUCAGGGGUUCUCCGGAAUCUUCUAAAAGAACUUGCAUUCCUGCAAGUGGCAGAGUGAAGGAUAUUCAGCAUUUCUGUAACAGGACGCAAAGCAGUGAGCAUCUAUUCAGUGAUUGCCGGGGUCAGGCCCAUAUAGAUGCUGGUUUGGGAGGUCUGAAGGCCAUGCCGAUAACAGAAUAUAGACUUUACUCCAAUGGGGCUUAAAUCCUUGUUGAAGUCGUAAGACAGACUGUGAGCAAAUGAGACAAAUAUCCGCCCAAACAUAUUAAUUGCUGUAGAAGAAGUUUGAAAGUGAAGUUUUAUGGUGGUUGAGAGAAGGAAAUCGUACCCUUGGGAAGAUUCGCGUGACUCUGACCUCACAAGUAGCUAUGCUUGAUCUUGCCAGCGAGGCCAAAGGAGUCACCAACCUGUCUGUGAACUCGUUCAAGCCAAAAGAACUCUCUGUGUCUAAAAAUAUAGAGCGAUGCCCUAGGUCCUAUUUACUAUGAUUGAAUUAGAAAAUUUCAUCGGGGAAAACUUCACCUUCAAGAAUCAUCAGCAACAUCGCCACUUUCCUUUUAAAUCAUAGUUAGACAUUGUGUAAUCUGUUUUGCUAGUUAUUUUAUUCCACAGUUUUACCGUUCAUGUUAAUUAGAAUCUAUCUUUAAGUAAUGAAUCAGGAAAGCAAAGUGAGUGGUAAAUGUUCCGAGUGUUUUUCACGUACAGAAAAUAUCUAUUUGGGUUCUACAAAGAAUCGCAACUUGACUAUAGGGUUCUUUUUUUUUUUUUAAUUUCUUUUUUAACGCUUAUGUGUUUUUGAAAGACCUAGAGAGACAGAGCGCCAGCAGGGGAGGGACAGAGAGAGAGGGAGACACAGAAUCUGAAGCAGGUUCUAGGCUCUGAGCCGUCAGCACAGAGCCCAAUGCAGGGUUCGAACCCACAAACCGUGAGAUCAUGACCUGAGCCGAAGUCGGACGCUUAACCGACUGAACCACCCAGGCGCCCAAACUAGAGGGUUCUUCUAGCAGAUGCUUUUAUUUUCGCAUCUUAUAAACGACACCAUUGUCUUCUGGCUCUUAGAGCCACAGAGGAGAACUACGAUAUCAAACUGAUUUUGGGGAUGACUGACAGAAAUAAGUCAUUGAAAUUUUCUUCCUAGAUAGUCACAGCAUUCUUUUUUCUUGCACGCAGAUAUUUUAACCAAGUUGUGUAGUGAUCGAUGUCUUUUAAUCAAUUUCUUUAUACACAAGAUCUUAUUUGAAUCUACAGAGCUUUACUCAGUCCUUCAACAUUUUUUUCUCUUACUAUUUCUACCAUUUCUAUGUUAUUUUUCCUUGUGUGUUGUUUCAACUCCAUUUCUCUGGCCUCAUUUUUUUUUUAAAUGUUUAUUUAUUUUUGAGACAGAGAGAGACAGAGCAUGAAUGGGGGAGGGUCAGACAGAGGGAGACAAAGAAUCCGAAGCAGGCUCCAAGCUCCGAGCUGCCAGCACAGAGCCCGACGCGGGGCUCGAGCUCACAGACUGUGAGAUCGUGACCUGAGCUGAGGUCGGAUGCCCAACCGACUGAGCCACCCAGGUGCCCCUCUCUGGCCUCAUUUUUAUACAUGCCAAUUGUUAAGGGACUGGGUCUCUGUUGACCUCUUUUACAAAUGUUUAAAUCUUCAUAUUCUUCAUUCAGUGAAAAUCCCACCUCAGGAUCAAUUUUCUUGCAGACUAACGUUUCACUUUGUAAUUGGUCUAGGGAAAAUUUCCGCUCUGGUAUUGUAUGUUUUCUGUUCCAUUAUGCUCAUUCCAUUUUUAAUUCUGCUUUGGUUUUUCUUUUUUAAUUUUUUAAAAUGUUUAUUUAUUUUUGACAGAGAGAGAGA